AUUGAACGCUGGCGGCAUGCCUAACACAUGCAAGUCGAACGAGUGGCGGACGGGUGAGUAAUGUCUUGGAAACUGCCUGAUGGAGGGGGAUAACUACUGGAAACGGUAGCUAAUACUGCUUACCAUCAGAUCGGCUCAGGCGGGAUGAGCUUGUCGGUGGGGUAACGGCUCACCAAGGCGACGAUCCAUAGCUGGUCUGAGAGGAUGACCGGCCACACUGGAACUGAGACACGGUCCAGACUCCUACGGGAGGCAGCAGUAGGGAAUAUUGGGCAAUGGGCGCAAGCCUGAUGCAGCAAUGCCGCGUGUAUGAAGAAGGCCUUCGGGUUGUAAAGUACUUUCAGCAGGGAAGCGUUACCCGCAGAAGAAGCACCGGCUAACUCCGUGCCAGCAGCCGCGGUAAUUC
rnacentral:rRNA from 1 species